rnacentral:rRNA from 1 species
CCCAAGUAGCGGCGAGCGAACGGGGAUGAGCCUAAACCAUAUAAGUGCCAAGGAUACAGCCGUUGCUUAUGUGGGGUUGUGGGAAGAACAAUUGAAGAACUGUAAGAUAUUCAACAUUAUUAUGCGCUGAACUGGAAUUAGUUGGAAAGCUAAAUCGUAGAAGGUGAUAAUCCUGUACAGGUAAACCGCAUAAUGUGUAUGUUCUCUCCCAAGUAACAUGGAACACGAGGAAUUCUGUGUGAAUCUGCGAGGACCAUAUCUCGUAAGGCUAAAUACUCUUACUAACCGAUAGCGUAUAGUACCGUGAGGGAAAGGUGAAAAGAACCCCGGGAGGGGAGUGAAAUAGAACCUGAAACUAUGUGCUUACAAGCGGUCAGAGCCCGCAAGGGUGAUGGCGUGCCUUUUGGAGAAUGAUCCUGCGAGUUACGUUCAGUGGCGAGGUUAAGUAUAACGGAGCCGAAGGGAAACCGAGUCUGAAUAGGGCGACAUAGUCGCUGGGCGUAGACGCGAAACCUGGUGAUCUAAGCCUGUCCAGGGUGAAGCUGUGGUAAGACACAGUGGAGGCCCGAACUCACCGCCGUUGAAAAGUUGGGAGAUGAGGUAGGUUUAGGGGUGAAAAGCCAAUCGAACUAGGAGAUAGCUCGUUCUCUCCGAAAUGCAUUUAGGUGCAGCCUUGAGUGUUUAAUUAUGGGGGUAGAGCACUGAAUGGACUAGGGGGCGCAUUGCUUACUGAAUCCAAUCAAACUCCGAAUACCAUAAUUCAAGAGCUCAGGAGUGAGACUAUGGGAAUUAACUUCCAUUGUCAAAAGGGAAACAACCCAGACCACCAGCUAAGGUCCCUAAUUAUAACUAAGUGGGAAAGGAGGUGGAGAUUCAUAAACAACCAGGAGGUUGGCUUAGAAGCAGCCAUACCUUUAAAGAGUGCGUAAUAGCUCACUGGUCGAGAGUCUCUGCGCCGACAAUGUAACGGGGCUAAGUUAUGAACCGAAGCUGUGGAAUUGCGCAAGCAAUUGGUAGGAGAGCGUUCUGUAGGCCGUUGAAGGAGAACUGAUAAGGGACUCUGGAGGUAUCAGAAGUGAGAAUGCAGGAAUAAGUAGCGAGAAGGGAGGCGAGAAUCCUCCCCGCCGGAAGACCAAGGUUUUCAGGGUAAAGCUUGUCUUCCCUGAGUAAGCCGGGACCUAAGCCGAGGCUAUAGUGCGUAGGCGAAUGGAAAACAGAUUAAUAUUUCUGUGCCAGUUAUAUUUUGUGAUGGAGGGACGCAGAAGGGUAUGCACGCAGGAGAACGGAAGUUCCUGUGGAAGCGCGUAGAGUGAUCUAGUAGGCAAAUCCGCUAGAUUAGACUUGAGGCGUAAAGGAAAGGUGCAAAUCCCACGCUGCCGAGAAAAGCUUCUAACGUUAAGGUAUAACUGCCCGUACCCGAAACCGACACAGGUGGUCAGGAUGAGAAAUCUAAGGCGGACAGGCUAACUCUCGUUAAGGAACUCUGCAAAAUUGCCCCGUAACUUCGGGAGAAGGGGUGCCCCUGAGUGUGAGCAUACACGCGAUGUUAAGCGCUUGGGGGUCGCAGUGAAGAGGCUCAAGCAACUGUUUAACAAAAACACAGGUCUAUGCUAAGCUGUAAGGCGAUGUAUAUGGGCUGACACCUGCCCAGUGCCGGAAGGUUAAGAGGAGGAGUGAGAGCUCCGAAUUGAAGCCCCGGUGAACGGCGGCCGUAACUAUAACGGUCCUAAGGUAGCGAAAUUCCUUGUCGGGUAAG